ACUAUUCACACGUUCUGUUUAUGUAACUCUCACCCCAUGCUCCUAAUUCCUUUUUAUUAUAAUUAUAAUUAUCAUUAAAUAUCUCUGCCCACUCAAACAAUGUUGACUGGUGGCUCAACCCAUUCAGUCCAACCACCAAAAUAUCUGUAUAUUUAAACCUUGUCGUCGUCUUAGAGGAACAAGCAUGGAAGCAACCCUCCGACAAGGAAAAGAAACCCCAAACAUUAGUCAUUCCCAAAUUCACCAGGUAUAUGCAUUUUAAUGAGUACAUGUAAAUAUUAUAUAUAUUUGCUUAUUACUGGAAAUUCUUCAAAUUUAAUUAAAUAUAAAGAUUGGAGACUUUGAUUAUCGUCUAGGGUUUUUUUUAACCUGUUUUUUUUUCUUUUUUCUUUUAUAUGCAUGUUGCAUGUCAUAAAAGGAUUGGGUUAAUAAUGUUAGACUUAAAUCUUCAUCUUUUCCAAUAUAUAUAUAGGUUUCUUUUUUUUUCAUUAAGUAAAUAGAUUUUUUUAUGAAUUUGCAGAAAAUGAGAUGUUAGCUGUAUACGUGGAAUAUUCAUUUGAGCAAGAAUAUGAAGACAUGAGCCACAACAUGAAGGUACCAAAAACGAGGUUAUGAAAAACCUCGACCUCAGACCUUAAAUGAGGUUUACAGAUGUGGUGCUUUCACUAGCCAAAAGUUGAUGUAUUUACAAAAGAAAAUUUAAAGAUGAAAUGAAGUUUUAGUUGAUAUGGUAAAAAUAUUAAAAAUGAUAAUGUUUUGGGUUAGAAUAAAUUAAGAUCUAGUUGAAAUGUGACGAUCUAAUUUAAGUUACUUUAUAAAAAUAUACUCUUUAGUUUGAUUUAGAAAGAUAAAAUCUUUUUAGCCUUUGAUUUUUUUUUUAUUUUAAAUAUGUUGUAUUUGAAGGAACCCAUGUUAUGAUUUAUUGAUUGGAUAUUCACUUGAAUAUUCAAAAAGAGAUCAAAAUCCUUAAAUGCAAUGUUGUUCAAUACUAUAUUUUUAUAAUCCUAACAUAUGUAAGCAUGUAUAUGUAUAUUUAUCUGCAACUUCCACGGUUGAAAUUUUGGACAAUAUAUUGUUAUUUUGCAAAGAAAGAUUGAACGAUAUAAGUCAACGCUGGCUGAAUAUAUAUAAUGUUAUAUAGAGAGAGGCUUAAACAAUUGUUGUUGGUUAUCUUAGAUACUUCCUCUCUGAUGUAAGAUUUUGAAUAAUUUUGAUUAAUUGUAUUUACAAUAAAACAUCGAUAAAUGAAUAUUUGAUAAA
rnacentral:lncRNA from 1 species